rnacentral:rRNA from 1 species
CGUCAGCGGCAGACGGGUGAGUAACGCGUGGGAACGUACCUUUUGGUUCGGAACAACACAGGGAAACUUGUGCUAAUACCGAAUAAGCCCUUACGGGGAAAGAUUUAUCGCCGAAAGAUCGGCCCGCGUCUGAUUAGCUAGUUGGUGAGGUAACGGCUCACCAAGGCGACGAUCAGUAGCUGGUCUGAGAGGAUGAUCAGCCACAUUGGGACUGAGACACGGCCCAAACUCCUACGGGAGGCAGCAGUGGGGAAUAUUGGACAAUGGGCGCAAGCCUGAUCCAGCCAUGCCGCGUGAGUGAUGAAGGCCCUAGGGUUGUAAAGCUCUUUUGUGCGGGAAGAUAAUGACGGUACCGCAAGAAUAAGCCCCGGCUAACUUCGUGCCAGCAGCCGCGGUAAUACGAAGGGGGCUAGCGUUGCUCGGAAUCACUGGGCGUAAAGGGUGCGUAGGCGGGUCUUUAAGUCAGGGGUGAAAUCCUGGAGCUCAACUCCAGAACUGCCUUUGAUACUGAAGAUCUUUAGUUCGGGAGAGGUGAGUGGAACUGCGAGUGUAGAGGUGAAAUUCGUAGAUAUUCGCAAGAACACCAGUGGCGAAGGCGGCUCACUGGCCCGAUACUGACGCUGAGGCACGAAAGCGUGGGGAGCAAACAGGAUUAGAUACCCCGGUAGUCCACGCCGUAAACGAUGAAUGCCAGCCGUUAGUGGGUUUACUCACUAGUGGCGCAGCUAACGCUUUAAGCAUUCCGCCUGGGGAGUACGGUCGCAAGAUUAAAACUCAAAGGAAUUGACGGGGGCCCGCACAAGCGGUGGAGCAUGUGGUUUAAUUCGACACACGCGCAGAACCUUACCAGCCCUUGGCAUCCCGGUCGCGGACUCCAGAGAUGGAGUUCUUCAGUUCGGCUGGACCGGAGACAGGUGCUGCAUGGCUGUCGUCAGCUCGUGUCGUGAGAUGUUGGGUUAAGUCCCGCAACGAGCGCAACCCCCGUCCUUAGUUGCUACCAUUUAGUUGAGCACUCUAAGGAGACUGCCGGUGAUAAGCCGCGAGGAAGGUGGGGAUGACGUCAAGUCCUCAUGGCCCUUACGGGCUGGGCUACACACGUGCUACAAUGGCGGUGUCAAUGGGAUGCUAAGGGGCGACCCUUCGCAAAUCUCAAAAAGCCGUCUCAGUUCGGAUUGGGCUCUGCAACUCGAGCCCAUGAAGUUGGAAUCGCUAGUAAUCGUGGAUCAGCACGCCACGGUGAAUACGUUCCCGGGCCUUGUACACACCGCCCGUCACACCAUGGGAGUUGGUUUUACCUGAAGACGGUGCGCUAACCCGCAAGGGAGGCAGCCGGCCACGGUAGGGUCAGCGACUGGGGUGAAGUCGUAACAAGGUA